rnacentral:rRNA from 1 species
UACAGAGGGGGCGAGCGUUGUUCGGAAUUAUUGGGCGUAAAGAGCUCGUAGGCGGUUUGUCGCGUCGGCCGUGAAAUCUCCACGCUUAACGUGGAGCGUGCGGUCGAUACGGGCAGACUUGAGUUCGGUAGGGGAGACUGGAAUUCCUGGUGUAGCGGUGAAAUGCGCAGAUAUCAGGAGGAACACCGGUGCGGAAGGCAGUCUCACUACCGACGAAUAUGACUGAGGCAGCGAAAAC